rnacentral:tRNA from 1 species
GCCCUUGAGUCCAUCUGGUGGUGGAGGCUGAUUGUCGAUCAGUUCGCGGCGAGUUCGAUCCUCGUUAAGGGCGC